rnacentral:rRNA from 1 species
UACAGAGGGGGCAAGCGUUGUUCGGAAUUACUGGGCGUAAAGGGCGCGUAGGCGGCUCGUCGCGUCGACCGUGAAAACCCGCAGCUUAACUGCGGGCUUGCGGUUGAUACGGGCGGGCUAGAGUUCGGUAGGGGAGACUGGAAUUCCUGGUGUAGCGGUGAAAUGCGCAGAUAUCAGGAGGAACACCGGUGGCGAAGGCGGGUCUCUGGGCCGAUACUGACGCUGAGGAGCGAAAGCGUGGGGAGCGAACAGG